UUCCAGCAGGCUAGGUCUUCUUGCUGUCUGCAGCUGUUGCUCUUGUGAGAGUGUUUUUGCCCAGUAGUUGCUGGACUUGUGCCCUUCUGUUACUUCCUGUGGAGACCAUCCUUGAAUAUCAGUUAAUGCUAUGGUUCUCCUUAUUGUGACGUCAUACUCUCCUUCCUUGCUCUGCUAUUUUUAUGAGAUUUAUUUUUCCAACAUUCUCUACAAACUCUAACAGUUUGCUUACUGCUUGCCAGUUAACGCAGGACCAGCUCCCAGAAUGAAUGCUUUUUAAUCAACGUUGUUCACUGCUCUAUGCCCCACGGCCUACUGUAAUGUUUGAGACAGGUUGAAGACAGAACAAGCUGGAGAACAAGGAGUCAGAAGAUUAGAAGACAUUUCCAAGCAAACAGGAAGGAGAGAGCAUUGGCCAGGAGUCUUGUGAGACUGAAGGCAGCCCAAGUCCAGUAAUCAGGAAGUUCGGGAGGAAAGAACAUUUGUGAGGCACACCUUUUGAGCACCUGAACUUGGAUCGGGUGACAAAGAAGGAGGUAUAUCUGAGGCUUCCAAGACUGGGCCAAGUGGAAUUAGGUGAAAGACAACUUGAUGAGAAAACCACAUUGCCCAUUGAGAGAGAUACAGCAUGGACACUGUGAAUGACAGCUAUUAACCAAAGCAAGGAACAAGGAAUGAUCACAUUUCAAAUACCAUGCUCUAUGGGAGAGGAGGGGUGGAAUGGAGGAGAGGCAACGAAGAUGCGAAGACAAGAGGUGUCUGUGGAUGAGAAGACUGUGUUUCUAAGGUCAGAAGCCAUGGUAUAGACACGAUGCCCCGAGAGCAGUUGUGGCCAGGUGAGGAAACGGAAGAAUGCACAAGUAGGUCAUGAGUCCCCCAAGUAGAAGCGGAGGAGGUUUGGCAGCUGGCUCAUGGUGCUGGUUACAGGGGAAGGGGUGGCCAUUGCAAUAUUAAAUCAUGGUAUAUGAGUGCAUUGUAUAGAUGAGCCAAGGACAUGAUGUCCGGGCAGUAUUUAAGAAAUUAAUGCCAUAUGUCAGUCAUAGAUCUUGCCAAUCUUUUAUCUGCCUUUCUUUCCACUACUAGCCUUAGAUAGAAGAGAAAUAAAAAGGAAACUGAGUAUUUCUACAGUUCAGCCUACACUCCUGCCCAUCUUAUACAUACAUCAUUCUUUCUUCUAUUAUCUUUCUUUUUUUUGUUGUUUUUGACAGGCUUUUGCUAUGUACUCCAGGCUGCACUCAAACCUGUGGCAAUCCUCUCGGGAUUUACAGCAGUGUGCCAGCAGGUUUCCUUCCUAAUUAAGGUUGUUUGUUUCAAUUUUAAGUCCCUCUUAUCUGUCUUUGUCUCUUCUCUUCUCUUCUCUCCCCUCCCCGCCCUCCUGUCUUUGUUACCUAGGAUGAUUUUGACUUUCUGAACUCAGGUUGAUCCUCCUGCAUCAGCGUUCCCAGUAGCUAGGAUUGCAGGCUUAGGCCACUGUGCUCAGCUUCUUUUCCAUAUCUUCCUUCCUUUUUCCUCCUUCUUUCCAGUCUUAGAUUAUAGAGACCACAAUUAACUAUUUAAAUACAGUGUCGAUCCAUUUCUCAUUUCAAUUGCAUCUUCAUAAUAGUAAUUACAAUGGUCUAGCUUGACUAAUGGAUUUUAUGUGUUUAUGAAGAAACACAUUCAAGGAUAUUUAAAGCAAUGCAUUUCUGGGUAUGGACUUUAAGACAACUUAGGAGUUUGCAUGAGAAAGAUGGGGAAGAAGCUAUGGGGUUCUUCGGGGCUACCAUCAGUGUGCUGACCUGUACAGACUGACCACCCAACAAGGAUCCUUUGAAGCACAUGAGUCAGUAAGGACAUGAAAUAAACACACUGGGGAAGUCUAAGGUUUACAAGGAGGUAAGCUAAUGAUAAAAUGACUCAACUCAAGUAUUAAAGUGAAUAUGCGUUUUAGGGGAAAGUAAAUGUGCUAAAGGAAGGGGGAAAGAACAAAGGGACAGAACGCUAAUGUGUUUGCAAGUAUCAGCAACGAUGAUACCCCAUAAAUGCAAUGGUCAUGGCUCUCUGUCCUUGAGGUCCUGACAAGCAGAUACAUAGGUAGCAGAAGCAGGGGCUUGUUCAAGUAUUUGUGACUGGCCUGGUAUGAGUGAAGUGUUAUUUCCAUAGAAACACGGGCUCUCAAUGUUUCCUAAACAGGACUAUUUGAUGUGGGUCAGUACACACUCUCUAUUGAGUGACAGGCUUCCUGGGAAAUAGUUGUGAAUGUGGCCGUGCUCGUUCAUGCUGGAGGGCUGACCGCUGAGACUCAAGGAGUGGCCGUCAUUCAGAAAGACAUCAAAUACUUCAAAGACUUUUUUUUAAAGCAUUCUUUGGGGGAAUAACUUUAAAUCUGUACCGUUAUAGUAUUCAGAACUCUUCUUGUCUACAGUGGCCUUUGCUUCUCCUGGAAGGGGCUAAGUCAUCAUUUUACGUGUUUCAAGAUGAGAAGUCUGCAACUCAAGGCAGUUCAGGGUCCCAGGGCCACAGAAGUGAGCAGCCCUGGUCCAGAAAGUGCCAGUGGAAGGGCUGGCUGACUCCUGUGUCCUCUACGUGAGAAUAGACAACUGACUAAGCUAUGUCUCUUUUUGCUUUAAGUUCUAGAAAGUUCAAGUUCAGAUUUAAAACACCCAGGAAAGACUUGAUUUGCUCUUAAGGCUUCCACACUUGGGUUCUCGGUUUUUUGUUCCUGAUGGUCCUGGAUAUUUUUUUUUCCUCCAUGUUGCUACAGGCUACAUUUAGUCAUCGGUAGAAUAGGUGUGUGAUAAAUGCAUAAACUUCACAAGAAUUUUAAAAACCCACAAUACUAACAGCAUAUUUCUCCAGAAAGAUCCAGUAAUUAGCUUUUGUAGACUUUUUUAAAAAUUUAUUUAUUUAACGUAUGUGAGUACACUGUCACUUUUCAGACUCACCAGAAGAGGGCAUCAGAUCCCAUUACGGAUGUCUGUGAGCCACCAUGUGGUUGCUGGAAAUCAAACUCAGGAACUUUGGAAGAGUAGUCAGUGCUCUUAACCACUGAGCCAUCUCUCCAGCCCUAGCUUUUGUGAUGUAGAACUCUCAGCUCCUUCUCCAGUACUGUGUCUGCCUGUGUGCCAUCAUGCUUCCUGCCGUGACCAUAAUGGACUAAGUCUCUGAAACUGUGAGCCAACCCCAGUUAAAUGUUGUCCUUUAUAAGAACUGCCAUGGUCAUGAUAUCUCUUCACUGGAAUAGAAGCCCUAACUCCCCCUUCCAUGAUGAUCCCUCAGCCUUGAGAAGACUCCCUCUAGUUCUUGAAGUUACUUCUUAAAUUGGUACAAAUUGAUUUAAGCAUCAUGGCUUACCUGACAAUAAAAUACAGAUUGAGGAUGUUGAUAAUGCUAAAAGACAUGAUGUUAGGAAUUAGAAACAUUUAUAUUCUUCGACUGCAUCUGAGUAAGGUUAGUAAGUGUCCAAAUUGAGCUUUAACUGGAUUUCGAAGUUGAGACAUCUUGAGAUGAAGUAAGUUUGAAUUAUAGGAAACCUAGAGCUACAGUACUGUUUGGUUUGGUAUGGACUGCUAUUUGAGCCAGGGCUUGCCCACACUCAGAGAGUCUUUGCCACUGAACUGCACCAGUCCAUCCACGCUGGAUUUCAAAGUUCAUUGUUUCUCUUACACAAGUGUGCCUGUCUCCCUCAGCCAUGCAAGCCUUUACGGAAUCCAGGAGUGGGAUAAAUGGUGAGGUGUGUACCUACACCCCAAAAGUAAACAGUAGGCCAGCAGGGGCUGAGGAGAAAAGGAGACACAGAAGCAGACUGGGAACUAGGGAUGCCAUGCCAAGUGAGAAAUGUGUUCUUCCUGUAACACAGGAAUUACAAAAAGCUCUGAGGGUGAUGUGUUGUCCUUUCAUCUCAAACUCUCCGGCUCAUUCAUGAGAAAUGACCAGUGCAGACAUACACAAGUAGAUCCCUGAAGUCCAGGAUUGUGACGGUGCCUCAUGGCUGUGGGUUGGGGACAUAGGAGGGAUGAGGUUUGAUUUGGCAAACGACUGAAGUCUACAGAGUAGUCCCUUUCAUGAGGGGAAGGUGAAGAAGGGAAAUGUCUGGGACAGUCUCACGUAGGCUUCUGCAAUCAGCAGCACUGAAGACUAAAAUGAAAUUGAAGAAACUAAAAGGCUAGGCAGGGAAGGGUAGCAUGGUAGGCUAUGAACCCACACUUCCACUCCCAGCCAAUAAACCAAAACAACACGUCACGUCUCAGGGGAUAGCCCAGAUAGGUCU